UACGGAGGGUGCGAGCGUUGUCCGGAAUCACUGGGCGUCAAGGGCGCGUAGGCGGCAGGUCAAGAGUGUGGUGAAAGCCCGGGGCUCAACCCCGGGUCGGCCAGGCGGACUGGCGUGCUUGAGCACUGUAGGGGCGGGUGGAAUUCCGGGUGUAGCGGUGGAAUGCGUAGAGAUCCGGAAGAACACCAGAGGCGAAGGCGGCCUACUGGGCCAGUACUGACGCUGAGCCGCGAAAGCUAGGGGAGCGAACGGG
rnacentral:rRNA from 1 species